rnacentral:rRNA from 1 species
GACGAACGCUGGCGGCGUGCUUAACACAUGCAAGUCGAACGGAAAGGCCCUGCUUUUGUGGGGUGCUCGAGUGGCGAACGGGUGAGUAACACGUGAGUAACCUGCCCUUGACUUUGGGAUAACUUCAGGAAACUGGGGCUAAUACCGGAUAGGAGCUCCUGCUGCAUGGUGGGGGUUGGAAAGUUUCGGCGGUUGGGGAUGGACUCGCGGCUUAUCAGCUUGUUGGUGGGGUAGUGGCUUACCAAGGCUUUGACGGGUAGCCGGCCUGAGAGGGUGACCGGCCACAAUGGGACUUGGAUACGGCCCAGACUCCUACGGGGGGCAACAGUGGGGAAUAUUGCACAAUGGGCGGAAGCCUGAUGCAGCAACGCCGCGGGCGGGAUGACGGCCUUCGGGUUUGAAACCGCUUUCGCCUUGGACGAAGCGUGAGGUACGGUAAUGGGUAAAGAAGCACCGGCUAACUACGUG